AUUGAACGCUGGCGGCAGGCCUAACACAUGCAAGUCGAGCGAGCGGCGGACGGGUGAGUAAUGUAUGUGGAUCUGCCCGAUAGAGGGGGAUAACUCCUGGAACCGGUAGCUAAUACCGCAUACUAUCGGAUGCACCCAUAUGGGAUUAGCUCGUGGGUGAGGUAAUGGCUCACCUAGGCGACGAUCCCUCGCUGGUCUUAGAGGAUGAUCAGCCACACUGGGACUGAGACACGGCCCAGACUCCUACGGGAGGCAGCAGUGGGGAAUUUUGGACAAUGGGGGAAACCCUGAUCCAGCCAUCCCGCGUGUAUGAUGAAGGCCUUCGGGUUGUAAAGUACUUUUGGCAGAGAAGCGGUAUCUGCAGAAUAAGCACCGGCUAACUACGUGCCAGCAGCCGCGGUAAUUC
rnacentral:rRNA from 1 species